rnacentral:rRNA from 1 species
AUGGCCCACAUAUCAGAUAUUAAACUGAUAAGAACAGAUACUACACUUGAUCUUAGCCAAAAGGCCGACAAAGGUAUGACUUCUUUCGCUGCCCUGCCUCUCGUUUUAUACACCUCUCCCGGCUCCCUCCGCUCAGCGCAGGCGAGGUGGGACUAA